GAGACGGGGUUUCACCGUGUUAGCCAGGAUGGUCUCGAUCUCCUGACCUCGUGAUCCGCCCGUCUCGGCCUCCCAAAGUGCUGGGAUUACAGGCUUGAGCCACCGCGCCCGGCCUAGUCCAGAUAGCUUUCAACCGCCAUCCUGUUUCUUCCGUCUACUGGAGCACGGUCACGUGAGCUGCGCCGACGAGGAGCCUGGGACGUGGCGAGGUGGCGCGGCUGCCGCUAGGGGGAGCACGGGAGCAUUGAGUCCGUGGCUGAGAGCCCGCGGCGCCUGGGCUUGGCGCAGCGCGGCGCUCGGUGCAGGUGGACUCCCGGCGCACUGGCGCGGCUUAGAGAGACGCGCAGCUCAUGAAAUGCUCGGCGUCUAAGACCUUCGGAGACCACAGUCUCCGCGGACCCCUGGCUGGAGCCCAAAGCCGGCCGGACCUCCUCCCCGCGUCUCCCCUUCCGCGGCUCGGAGAGGAAGGCAGGGGAACCCCCAGAUAUCAUUCCCCUCUCGCCCCCUAGGGAAAAUGUGGCUGAAAGAGCCAGCCAGAGAACGAAAAAAAAAGUCGCGGAGGGGGGCGGCCCGAGCGACCUAAGGGACCGGGCAGCGCCAGCGACGGAGGGAAAUUGGUCGAGUUGAGGGGACAAAGAGACAAGCCCCCAGAAUUUGGGAGACUCCGAAGCUUGGAGCUUGGAGUCCUGAAAUUGACUCAGAUGACAACUGCUCCUAAUCUGUGCCAGGAGCCACACCCCGGGCUGCUCGCCCGGAGGGAGGGGGGCCCUAACACCUGUUGCGCGGAAUCCCCACUGGGAAAACCUCAGUAAACUCCAGAACGCAACUACUGCAUGUUCCAAUCUCCCGCCACCUUCCCAGUGUCUCAGAGAAGAAGAUACAGAAAAUGAAAAUGAAAAGAAAAUGUGGUACUACAGCACAAAGGUCUAGUUUGCAUAAUUAAUUGACUGUCUAGACAAAUAUUAGGAAGCAGAACUCUGCAAAAUUCUGGAAGAAAUGUGUGAAGAAAUCCACCGACACAUGGCCAUAACCGAAGGCCUGACUGAUAAGACUCGGGGCAGUAACAAAUCCUUUCUGGCGGCAGCUAAUGGCACAACGUCAACGUGGUACUAGAAGAGGAGGGAUUCACAAGAAUUGAAAAUUGACGGGGAAGAGAAGGGGUCAGUUCAUGUCCAGCCUCACUGUAAGGACAGAGAGCAAAAGCAACUAGAAGAAAGCAGCCAGUGGAUGAGGACACUUGAAAUCACCUUCUGAGCAACCACAGAAAGAGCCCAGAUGGGACAGGGGCAAGCCAGGAGCGAUGCUCUUCCUAGGCACUUGGCUCAUCUUUCAGUCAGCUCUCCUUUGAAGAUAACUAGCAGCUUUCUAGUUGUUUUUAUGUAAUCUUCGUUUUCUGUUUCUAAUUGUCUUGGUUGGGUUUAAGAUAUAGGAAAACUCUCUCAUAUUAGGCUGAACUGUGGAGCUACUUCGACAAGAGUGGGUAAUGUACCAUCUUCUGGCCAGAUCAUGCAUUUACAUGACUCUAAUGAUAGUCUUGUAUCGUCUUUAAUUGACAACAGGAAGAGCUAAAGAGAGACCUGAAAAUUAAGGACGAAAAAGACCUGAUGCAGGUGGCUCAGGCCACAGCAGUAGCUGCACCUUGCCCCACCAGUGACGGCAGCUCCUCCAGCCCCUCCACCUUCACCUCCCGCUCCACCUGCUGUGCAACACCCUGUCCUGUCCGCACCCACCAUACCUGCUGCUUCCCAGAAGAGGAAGGGGGAAGAGGAAAAAGACUCAAGCUCAACGUCCAAGAAGGAGAAAAUGCUCUCUGCUAAGGACACAAAGCUUUACUGUAUCUGUAAAGUGCCUUAUGAUGAAUCUAAGUGGGUAGAUCUUUUUGAGCUCUAGUUUUUUGUCUUGAAAGUUUAGCUAUGAAAUUGAAAGUUUUGGAGAAAAUGAAUAUUUUGGGAGUGAUAUAAAUAAAAAUAUUAAAUUUAAGAGUAAUGUUUCAUCUAUAGUCUUGGAUGCGAUAUUCUUACCCUUGACACUAGUGAAGUAAAAUUUGCUAUUUCAUGUGUUUGUGAUUGUCCUUUGUUAUAUUCUUUUCUGUCAAAAACAAGCUUUCUGUUGCUCCUUUGCUUUCUCCUCUUCCCUCUGAAUUAACUCCAAAUCAACGAGUAAUUGAUGUCUGGAGAAGGAGGUGUGUUACUGUUGCCCAAAAUGGGGAGCAUCCUUUCUGGGAUCUGUUCAAAGCCCUGUGAAUACAUGAAAUCCUGGAAACCAUUUGAACAUGAAUGGUCAGAGGUUUUGAA